rnacentral:pre_miRNA from 1 species
AGUGGUUUUCCGUUGCACAUGCGUACAUAGCAUGCAUGCGCAACGGGAGAUCAACGG